UGUGGGAGCGGGCUUGCCCGCGAUGAGGUCAUAACAUUCAACAUUGAUGUUGGCUGUUCCACCGCCAUCGCGGGCAAGCCCGCUCCCACA
rnacentral:misc_RNA from 1 species